AGGUCAAGCUACAAAGGGCGCAUGGUGAAUGCCUUGGCAUCAGGAGCCGAUGAAGGACGCGAUAAGCUGCGAUAAGCUUCGGGUAGA
rnacentral:rRNA from 1 species